rnacentral:rRNA from 1 species
UACUCCUACGGGAGGCAGCAGUAGGGAAUCUUCCGCAAUGGACGAAAGUCUGACGGAGCAACGCCGCGUGAGUGAUGAAGGUUUUCGGAUCGUAAAGCUCUGUUGUUAGGGAAGAACAAGUGCGAGAGUAACUGCUCGCACCUUGACGGUACCUAACCAGAAAGCCACGGCUAACUACGUGCCAGCAGCCGCGGUAAUAA